rnacentral:rRNA from 1 species
GUGUUUGAUCUGGCUCAGGACGAACGCUGGCGGCGUGCUAAUACAUGCAAGUCGAGCGGACAGAAGGGAGCUUGCUCCCGGAUGUUAGCGGCGGACGGGUGAGUAACACGUGGGUAACCUGCCUGUAGACUGGGAUAACUCCGGGAAACCGGAGCUAAUACCGGAUAGUUCCUUGAACCGCAUGGUUCAAGGAUGAAAGACGGUUUCGGCUGUCACUUACAGAUGGACCCGCGGCGCAUUAGCUAGUUGGUGGGUAAUGGCUCACCAAGGCGACGAUGCGUAGCCGACCUGAGAGGGUGAUCGGCCACACUGGGACUGAGACACGGCCCAGACUCCUACGGGAGGCAGCAGUAGGGAAUCUUCCGCAAUGGACGAAAGUCUACGGAGCAACGCCGCGUGAGUGAUGAAGGUUUUCGGAUCGUAAAGCUCUGUUGUUAGGGAAGAACAAGUGCGAGAGUAACUGCUCGCACCUGACGUACYUAACCAGAAAGCCACGGCUAACUACGUGCAGCAGCCGCGGUAAUACGUAGGUGGCAAGCGUUGUCCGGAAUUAUUGGGCGUAAAGGGCUCGCAGGCGGUUUCUUAAGUCUGAUGUGAAAGCCCCCGGCUCAACCGGGGAGGGUCAUUGGAAACUGGAAACUUGAGUGCAGAAGAGGAGAGUGGAAUUCCACGUGUAGCGGUGAAAUGCGUAGAGAUGUGGAGGAACACCAGUGGCGAAGGCGACUCUCUGGUCUGUACUGACGCUGAGGAGCGAAAGCGUGGGAGCGAACAGGAUUAGAUACCCUGGUAGUCCACGCCGUAAACGAUGAGUGCUAAGUGUUAGGGGGUUCCGCCCCUUAGUGCUGCAGCUAACGCAUAAGCACUCCGCCUGGGGAGUACGGUCGCAAGAUGAAACUCAAAGGAAUUGACGGGGGCCCGCACAAGCGGUGGAGCAUGUGGUUUAAUUCGAAGCAACGCGAAGAACCUUACCAGGUCUUGACAUCCUCUGACAACCCUAGAGAUAGGGCUUUCCCUUCGGGACAGAGUGACAGGUGGUGCAUGGUUGUCGUC